ACAGUCAGUAAGAGAUAAUGGAUUCCAAUAACUUGUGGGUGGCAAAGGGAAGAGAGACGGUACAAUCUUAAAGAAUAUUAAAUUCAUGCAGACAGCGACAAAGGAACAAAUGCAGAAGUUACUGAGACUGAAACAACUCCUGACAAACAUAAAAAAUCAACGGCGGCUGCAGCUCUUCUGUUGUUGGGGCCUGGCUGUAAUUACACGGAAUGCUGUGUGUGUUGACAGCUGAAGAUGAGCAGCUUAGGCAGCAGGAGAAAUACUCUGGACUUACACCAAAAGAUUAUCAUCACUGACGGAGUAGAGGUCCUGUCAGGAGUGCGCCAGGACGACCCUGACCAGACAACGCUGACACUGACAGUCCAGACCACCGAAGCUACCGAGAUAUGAAGACACCGAGGGAAACUUUUGAAAAUGGAAAUUGACUGUCUUCUGGUGAGAUGAUGAGCAGCAGACGCUCGCAAUGACUUUAACAGGACAUGUGUCCUUGCAAAAUUCCACUCCUUCAGGCAAGAAUUCUCCCCCACUGGUGGUGAGAGCCAUCAACUCCCUCCUGCUGACGAGAGUCAUCCAGCUGGGAGACCUGGAUGCCACCAUGGCCAGAUUCACUGUCCUGGGGUUCCCCAACUGGGGGGGAGCCAUCGAUGGGACACACAUCCCCGUGUAAGCACCUGACCAUCGAGCGGCCCACUUCAUCAACAGAAAGGGCUACUUUUCCAUGGUGCUACAGGCCCUGGUCGACCAC